rnacentral:misc_RNA from 1 species
AAGUCGUAACAAGGUUUCCGUAGGUGAACCUGCGGAAGGAUCAUUAUAGUGAAAAGCUAUAGACUUGGUGUCUAAGGAUGAAACCAUAAAGGUUAAUCCUAUACCGCCCAACCUUGUCAAUAAAUUUAACGUUACCUCGGUAGGUUAGCCUGCCGGUGGACAAUUUAAAACCCUUUUUAAACAUACUUAUAAAUACACUUGUCUGAUAAUUUUUAUAAUAAAAUUAAAACUUUCAACAACGGAUCUCUUGGUUCUG